rnacentral:rRNA from 1 species
CCUACGGGAGGCAGCAGUGGGGAAUAUUGCACAAUGGGCGAAAGCCUGAUGCAGCGACGCCGCGUGAGGGAUGAAGGCCUUCGGGUUGUAAACCUCAUUCAGCAGGGAAGAAGCGCAAGUGACGGUACCUGCAGAAGAAGCACCGGCUAACUCCGUGCCAGCAGCCGCGGUAAUACGGAGGGUGCGAGCGUUGUUCGGAAUUAUUGGGCGUAAAGCGCACGUAGGCGGUUGGGUAAGUCUCAUGGUGAAAGGCCGGGGCUCAACUCCGUGCUGGCCAGGGAUACUGCCCGACUGGAGACAGGGAGAGGCCAGUGGAAUUCCGGGUGUAGCGGUGGAAUGCGUAGAGAUCCGGAAGAACACCGGAGGCGAAGGCGGCUGGCUGGCCCUGAUCUGACGCUGAGGUGCGAAAGCGUGGGGAGCGUACAGGAUUAGAUACCCUGGUAGUCCACGCCGUAAACGUUGGGCGCUAGGUGUGGGGCUCAUUCCACGAGUUCCGUGCCGCAGCUAACGCAUUAAGCGCCCCGCCUGGGGAGUACGGCCGCAAGGCUAAAACUCAAAGGAAUUGACGGGGGCCCGCACAAGCGGCGGAGCAUGUUGCUUAAUUCGAUGCAACGCGAAGGACCUUACCUAGGCUUGACAUGCACGGAAAUCCUCCAGAGAUGGGGGGUCCGUAAAGGGCCGUGCACAGGUGGUGCAUGGUUGUCGUCAGCUCGUGUCGUGAAAUGUUGGGGUUAAGUCCCGCAACGAGCGCAACCCUCGUCCUAUGUUGCCAGCACGCCAUGGUGGGGACUCAUAGGAGACUGCCGGGGUCAACUCGGAGGAAAGGGUGGGGAUGACGUCAAAUCAUCAUGCCCCUUAUGUCUAGGGCUGCAAACAUGCUACAAUGGCCGGUACAAAGGGCUGCGAUACCGCAAGGUGGAGCGAAUCCCAAAAGCCGUCUCCAGUUC